GAUCAUGGCUCAGGACGAACGCUGGCGGCGUGCUAACACAUGCAAGUCGAGCGAUGAAGCUUCUCGGAAGUGGAUUAGCGGCGGACGGGUGAGUAACACGUGGGUAACCUGCCUCAUAGAGGGGAAUAGCCUUCCGAAAGGAAGAUUAAUACCGCAUAAGAUUGUAAUAUCGCAUGAUAUAGCAAUUAAAGGAGUAAUCCGCUAUGAGAUGGACCCGCGUCGCAUUAGCUAGUUGGUGAGGUAGCGGCUCACCAAGGCGACGAUGCGUAGCCGACCUGAGAGGGUGAUCGGCCACAUUGGGACUGAGACACGGCCCAGACUCCUACGGGAGGCAGCAGUGGGGAAUAUUGCACAAUGGGGGAAACCCUGAUGCAAGCAACGCCGCGUGAGUGAUGACGGUCUUCGGAUUGUAAAGCUCUGUCUUCAGGGACGAUAAUGACGGUACCUGAGGAGGAAGCCACGGCUAACUACGUGCCAGCCGCCGC
rnacentral:rRNA from 1 species